GACGAACGCUGGCGGCGUGCUUAACACAUGCGAGUCGAACGCUGAAGCACCAGCUUGCUGGUGUGGAUGAGUGGCGAACGGGUGAGUAAUACGUGAGUAACCUGCCCUUGACUCUGGGAUAAGCCCGGGAAACUGGGUCUAAUACUGGAUGCUACAUGUCACCGCAUGGUGGUGUGUGGAAAGGGUUUACUGGUCUUGGAUGGGCUCACGGCCUAUCAGCUUGUUGGUGAGGUAAUGGCUCACCAAGGCGACGACGGGUAGCCGGCCUGAGAGGGUGACCGGCCACACUGGGACUGAGACACGGCCCAGACUCCUACGGGAGGCAGCAGUGGGGAAUAUUGCACAAUGGGCGAAAGCCUGAUGCAGCGACGCCGCGUGAGGGAUGACGGCCUUCGGGUUGUAAACCUCUUUCAGCAGGGAAGAAGCCACAAGUGACAGUACCUGCAGAAGAAGCGCCGGCUAACUACGUG
rnacentral:rRNA from 1 species